AGUAAUAGUCGUAACAAGGUUUCCGUAGGUGAACCUGCGGAAGGAUCAUUACCGAGUGAGGGCCCUUUGGGUCCAACCUCCCACCCGUGUUUAUUUUACCUUGUUGCUUCGGCGGGCCCGCCUUUACUGGCCGCCGGGGGGCUUCACGCCCCCGGGCCCGCGCCCGCCGAAGACACCCUCGAACUCUGUCUGAAGAUUGAAGUCUGAGUGAAAAUAUAAAUUAUUUAAAACUUUCAACAACGGAUCUCUUGGUUCCGGCAUCGAUGAAGAACGCAGCGAAAUGCGAUACGUAAUGUGAAUUGCAAAUUCAGUGAAUCAUCGAGUCUUUGAACGCACAUUGCGCCCCCUGGUAUUCCGGGGGGCAUGCCUGUCCGAGCGUCAUUGCUGCCCUCAAGCCCGGCUUGUGUGUUGGGCCCCGUCCUCCGAUUCCGGGGGACGGGCCCGAAAGGCAGCGGCGGCACCGCGUCCGGUCCUCGAGCGUAUGGGGCUUUGUCACCCGCUCCGUAGGCCCGGCCGGCGCUUGCCGAUCAACCCAAAUUUUUAUCCAGGUUGACCUCGGAUCAGGUAGGGAUACCCGCUGAACUUAAGCUUUUCAAUAAGCGAAGGAAAAA
rnacentral:rRNA from 1 species